UGAUCAGCGACCAUCUAUUGGACAUCCACACUGGGGAGGAAGCUGUGUGUACACCAACAUGUCAGAAAGAAAUUGCUGUGCAGACGGAUCCCCCUCCACCCAACCCCAAGUCCAUACAGGCCCGACCACGUGUCAGGUCAGCUGGACUGCAAGUUCCAAUUCAAAUUGGUUGUUCCAAAGAGUAUGUUACUGAACUCUUGAACGAGACUCAAUGCUUUGUGCCAAGACAAUG